rnacentral:ribozyme from 1 species
UACCCAGCAACUCCCAUCCCUACCUCCUCGUGGCACUGGCCGGGGUACGAGUAACCUUGGGGAAGAUUGGGUAACUAACCCCGGUGGGAACUUUGGUCGUAUGCUGACAGGGAAGG